rnacentral:tRNA from 1 species
GCAGGGGUAGCCAAGUGGUCAACGGCGCUAGGCUCAAGACCUAGUCCCUUAGUGGGUUCGAGGGUUCGAAUCCCUCCCCCUGCA